AUACGGAGGGUGCAAGCGUUAUCCGGAAUCACUGGGUUUAAAGGGUGCGUAGGCGGCCAUAUUAGUCAGUAGUGAAAGGUUGCAGCUUAACUGUAAGACUGCUAUUGAAACUGUAUGGCUUGAAUUAGGAUGAGGUAGGCGGAAUGUGACAUGUAGCGGUGAAAUGCUUAGAUAUGUCAUAGAACACCGAUUGCGUAGGCAGCUUACUAGACCUAUAUUGACGCUGAGGCACGAAAGCGUGGGGAGCGAACAGUAUUAGAUACCCCAGUAGUCC
rnacentral:rRNA from 1 species